rnacentral:rRNA from 1 species
UACGUAGGGGGCUAGCGUUGUCCGGAAUCAUUGGGCGUAAAGCGCGUGUAGGCGGCCCGGUAAGUCCGCUGUGAAAGUCGGGGGCUCAACCCUCGGAUGCCGGUGGAUACUGUCGGGCUCGAGUACGGAAGAGGCGAGUGGAAUUCCUGGUGUAGCGGUGAAAUGCGCAGAUAUCAGGAGGAACACCAAUUGCGAAGGCAGCUCGCUGGGACGUUACUGACGCUGAGGAGCGAAAGCAUGGAGAGCGAACAGG